rnacentral:rRNA from 1 species
CCUACGGGUGGCAGCAGUGGGGAAUAUUGGACAAUGGGGGCAACCCUGAUCCAGCCAUGCCGCGUGUGUGAAGAAGGCCCUCGGGUUGUAAAGCACUUUCAGUGAGGAAGAACGCCUGGUGGUUAAUACCCAUCAGGAAAGACAUCACUCACAGAAGAAGCACCGGCUAACUCCGUGCCAGCAGCCGCGGUAAUACGGAGGGUGCGAGCGUUAAUCGGAAUUACUGGGCGUAAAGCGCGCGUAGGUGGCUUGAUAAGCCGGUUGUGAAAGCCCCGGGCUCAACCUGGGAACGGCAUCCGGAACUGUCAAGCUAGAGUGCAGGAGAGGAAGGUAGAAGUCCCGGUGUCGCGGUGAAAUGCGUAGAGAUCGGGAGGAAUACCAGUGGCGAAGGCGGCCUUCUGGACUGACACUGACACUGAGGUGCGAAAGCGUGGGUAGCAAACAGGAUUAGAUACCCUAGUAGUC